GCAUGAAGCUCAAGUGUAAUCAAAUAAAAUAAUAAUACCAAAUAAAAUGUAAAAUAAAAUACUAAUAAAUGUAACUGUAAUAAAUGUAAUUUGUAGCUGUUUAAAUGAGGAUGUAUUACGUCUAGCGACUAUUACUCCGGAAUAAUAAAAUCUCGUUAUCGCCAUUUUCAAGCCCUUAGUUGACGAGGCCUGGUUGACGACAGACUAGCGCGAACCGAUAUAAUUCACGAUUAGACUGCAUCGCCCCUCAUAGGUACCUACGCUAUGGAUAAGUGGUUGAAAAGAAACGCUGAGGGACUAUCAAAUGAAGAAAGAAAUGCUCAUGAAGAUUCAUCAAAUGAAAUAAGGAAUUCAGGGAAUUUAUCUAGAAAAUCUAGAAAAACCCCCCUUGCUUAUCUGUUUUCAAGGAAUUCAAGGUGGCUAGGCCUUGUCGUUGUCUUGACUACAUCCUUGAUUGUUGUCACAAUAUUUCUGCUACUGACUGGAAGCGUCCAGUUAAAAGGAUAAGUAUUGCAAGCUCUUGAGAGCCCUUACUCGCUCUUAUACUUUGAACAAAUUAUAAAUAAAAUAUAAAAUUAAAUUUAUACUUAUUAAAUUUUUAAUAAAUAUAAUUUUAUUUUGAAAAAUGU